rnacentral:rRNA from 1 species
AUGCAUAUACAUAUGACGACGUAUGCACCGGUUCUCUACCGAUCACCGACGUUAAGCAACGUCGAGCUUAGUGUGUACUUAGAUGAGUGACCUUAGGCGCAGGCGUAGCUAUGUGGUAA